rnacentral:rRNA from 1 species
CCUACGGGAGGCAGCAGUGGGGAAUUUUGGACAAUGGGCGCAAGCCUGAUCCAGCCAUGCCGCGUGAGUGAAGAAGGCCUUCGGGUUGUAAAGCUCUUUCGGCGGGGAAGAAAAGGUUCGUGCUAAUACCACGAACUAAUGACGGUACCCGAAGAAGAAGCACCGGCUAACUACGUGCCAGCAGCCGCGGUAAUACGUAGGGUGCAGGCGUUAAUCGGAAUUACUGGGCGUAAAGCGUGCGCAGGCGGUUUGUUAAGACAGAUGUGAAAUCCCCGGGCUUAACCUGGGAACUGCGUUUGUAACUGGCAAGCUAGAGUGUGGCAGAGGGGGGUGGAAUUCCAAGUGUAGCAGUGAAAUGCGUAGAUAUUUGGAGGAACACCGAUGGCGAAGGCAGCCCCCGUGGGCUAACACUGACGCUCAUGCACGAAAGCGUGGGGAGCAAACAGGAUUAGAUACCCUGGUAGUCCACGCCCUAAACUAUGUACACUGGUUCGUACGGGAANCAAUUCCGUUAGGUAACGAGCUAACGCGUGAAGUUCGACCGCGUGGGGUAGGACGGCGCGAGUUAAACGUUAAAGUAGAUAGACGCGNGAGACGNGCGACGACGACGACGAGGAGUAGG